rnacentral:rRNA from 1 species
UACGUAGGGUGCAAGCGUUAAUCGGAAUUACUGGGCGUAAAGCGUGCGCAGGCGGUUUUGUAAGUCAGAUGUGAAAAUCCCCGGGCUUAACCUGGGAAUGGCGAUGGUGACUGCAAGGCUAGAGUUUGGCAGAGGGGGGGGGUAGAAUUCCACGUGUAGCAGUGAAAUGCGUAGAGAUCGGGAGGAACACCAGUGGCGAAGGGCGGCCUUCUGGACCAGCACUGACACUCAAGCACGAAAGCGUGGGGAGCAAACAGGG